CCGCUCAAUUCGCUGCGUAUAUCGCUUGCUGAUUACGUGCAGCUUUCCCUUCAGGCGGGAUUCAUACAGCGGCCAGCCAUCCGUCAUCCAUAUCACCACGUCAAAGGGUGACAGCAGGCUCAUAAGACGCCCCAGCGUCGCCAUAGUGCGUUCACCGAAUACGUGCGCAACAACCGUCUUCCGGAGCCUGUCAUACGCGUAAAACAGCCAGCGCUGGCGCGAUUUAGCCCCGACAUAGCCCCACUGUUCGUCCAUUUCCGCGCAGACGAUGACGUCACUGCCCGGCUGUAUGCGCGAGG
rnacentral:rRNA from 1 species